CAUAAUUUUUAGUCUACUCUGUUUCAUUGUAAAAAAAAAAACGAAAUCUUUAUUUUUUUUCAACUUUCCCACACUUUCUCGGUGGCCAAACACAACCACACCACCAAAAAUAACCACAAAACUUACAGAAAAAACCAGAGGCAAUGGUCUCUCAGAUCUCCACUUCAGUUCCUUCCUAUUGGUGUUGAGGUAAGGAUCUCCCCUCCCUAAUCGGCGUGCCGGAAAAUGAGUUUGGGGCAGAGGGCAAAAUGAUUUUUG
rnacentral:lncRNA from 1 species